rnacentral:rRNA from 1 species
GAUGAACGCUAGCGGCAGGCCUAAUACAUGCAAGGCGAGGGGUUGGCAACAACACCGUCGUACGGGUGCGUAACGCGUAUGCAACCUACCUAUCACAGGGGGAUAGCCUUUGGAAACAGGGAUUAAUACCGCAUAAAGCAGGGGCUUGGCAUCAAGAUACUGCUAAAGAUUUAUCGGUGAUAGAUGGGCAUGCGUCUGAUUAGUUAGAUGGUGAGGUAACGGCUCACCAUGACGAUGAUCAGUAGGGGCGUCAGAGCGUGGUCCCCCACACUGGCACUGAGAUACGGGCCAGACUCCUACGGGAGGCAGCAGUAGGGAAUAUUGGGCAAUGGAUGCAAGUCUGACCCAGCCAUGCCGCGUGGAGGAAGAAGGUCCUCUGGAUUGUAAAC